rnacentral:rRNA from 1 species
UACGUAGGGUGCAAGCGUUGUCCGGAAUUAUUGGGCGUAAAGCGCGUGUAGGCGGUCCGGUAAGUCCGCUGUGAAAGUCGAGGGCUCAACCCUCGAAUGCCGGUGGAUACUGUCGGGCUAGAGUACGGAAGAGGCGAGUGGAAUUCCUGGUGUAGCGGUGAAAUGCGCAGAUAUCAGGAGGAACACCAAUUGCGAAGGCAGCUCGCUGGGACGUUACUGACACUGAGGCGCGAAAGCCAGGGGAGCGAACGGG